rnacentral:rRNA from 1 species
AUGAACAAGAAUCUUGGUAAGAGAACUGCUGAAGCUGGUGGAAAGGAUCCUCAGCACAAGCGACUACAUGUCAGGAUGUUCAUACUGGUAGACGCAAAGACUGUGGUUCAUCUAAGAGUCUACCCAAGCGUGCCCGUGAUGAUGGUGAUGAAGGUGUUGGUGCCGACUUUGGCGAGGAGGUCGAUGUUGUUCCAAAGAGGAAGAAGUAUAGUGAGAGCAAUGCAACUGAAGAUGAUGCCGAGGGAGAUGAUUCUCGAUUUAACAAGAUCGUAUGUUUGUCACUUCCCACUGUCUGCAAGGCUGCUGCUUUAUUGA